ACUCCUACGGGAGGCAGCAGUGGGGAAUAUUGCACAAUGGGCGCAAGCCUGAUGCAGCCAUGCCGCGUGUAUGAAGAAGGCCUUCGGGUUGUAAAGCACUUUCAGUAGGGAGGAAGGUAGUGUAGUUAACACCUGCACUAUUUGACGUUACCUACAGAAGAAGCACCGGCUAACUCCGUGCCAGCAGCCGCGGUAAUACGGAGGGUGCGAGCGUUAAUCGGAAUUACUGGGCGUAAAGCGCAUGCAGGCGGCCUGUUAAGUCAGAUGUGAAAGCCCGGGGCUUAACCUCGGAAUUGCAUUUGAAACUGGCAGGCUAGAGUCUUGUAGAGGGGGGUAGAAUUUCAGGUGUAGCGGUGAAAUGCGUAGAGAUCUGAAGGAAUACCAGUGGCGAAGGCGGCCCCCUGGACAAGACUGACGCUCAGAUGCGAAAGCGUGGGGAGCAAACAGGAUUAGAUACCCUGGUAGGAUAGCG
rnacentral:rRNA from 1 species